UCUCUUGUGCUCGGGCACGUACUGUCGCCAGUGAGGUCUUUACCGAGGCACAGUCUUUUGCUGAUUGCAAAUUACACAUCCGAACACGUCUGUUAGCUUCGGCUUUCAGCAAUUUUUGGAAAAUCCUCACCAGCUCUUCCGCUUUAUCUUAUCCUAAUGACGGUGACUUGCAUCAGAAGGAU
rnacentral:snRNA from 1 species